rnacentral:rRNA from 1 species
GCGCACGGGUGAGUAACACGUGAAUGAUCUACCUCCGAGUGGGGAAUAACUGGAGAGAAAUCCUAGCUAAUACCGCAUAAUACCCACGGGUCAAAGCAGCAAUGCGCUUGGAGAGGAGUUCGCGGCCGAUUAGUUAGUUGGCGGGGUAAUGGCCCACCAAGACGAUGAUCGGUAUCCGGCCUGAGAGGGCGCACGGACACACUGGAACUGAAACACGGUCCAGACUCCUACGGGAGGCAGCAGUGGGGAAUUUUGCGCAAUGGGGGAAACCCUGACGCAGCAACGCCGCGUGGAGGAUGAAGCCCCUUGGGAUGUAAACUCCUUUCGAUCGGGACGAUUAUGACGGUACCGGAAGAAGAAGCACCGGCUAACUCUGUGCCAGCAGCCGCGGUAAUACAGAGGGUGCAAGCGUUGUUCGGAAUUAUUGGGCGUAAGGGUGCGUAGGCGGUGCUGUAAGUCUGUAGUGAAAUCUCUGGGCUCAACUCAGAGACUGCUAUAGAAACUGCAGUGCUAGAGUGUGGGAAGGUGAGUGGAAUUCCCGGUGUAGCGGUGAAAU